CGGGUGAGUAACACGUGGAUAACCUACCUAUAAGACUGGGAUAACUUCGGGAAACCGGAGCUAAUACCGGAUAAUAUUUUGAACCGCAUGGUUCAAAAGUGAAAGACGGCCUUGCUGUCACUUAUAGAUGGAUCCGCGCUGCAUUAGCUAGUUGGUAAGGUAACGGCUUACCAAGGCAACGAUGCAUAGCCGACCUGAGAGGGUGAUCGGCCACACUGGAACUGAGACACGGUCCAG
rnacentral:rRNA from 1 species